rnacentral:snRNA from 1 species
AGAUUUGUACAGUGGCAGUAUCGUAGCCAAUGAGGUUUAUCCGAGGCGCGAUUAUUGCCAAUUGAAAACUUUUCCCUCUGUUUGGAAUGACCCUCCACCUCUCCACUUAGUUAAUCCUUUGUAUUCUUUUGAUUUCUUUAAAACCCUUCCUCAGGG